UUGCAGACAGGGAAACUGAGGCUCUGCCAAGUGAAGCCUCUUGUCUCCUGUGUCAUGGCCAGGGAGAGGAGAGGCAGGAAAGUAAACCCAGGCCAGCUUCUCUGGAGCUGAGUAGUUUGACCCAGAAACAGGACUUGGUCAUUCCCCUAUGUCUGUCCUUGAGGAAUGAAGAGGUUUUAAGGUCAGUGGCUUUCAAAGAAUAGAGCUUUGAAACCAAAAGGACUUGUCUUGGGGAACAUGGGUCCCAGGGGAGGGGGCACCUCCUCCAAUUCCCUGAAGACACAUGGUCUUUGCACCCUCAGAGGAAGUGUCCUUUGCACCCAGCACAGCUCCAGGCCCGUAAUGCGUGUGUAAUAAGCCUCAGGAGGCAGGAAAGGGGUGAGUGCUCGGUGUUCCACGCUGCGGCCAGCAGGGGGCGCAGAGAGGCGCUGCAGCCUCCCCGGAGCGGAAGGCACGCCCCAGAAGGCCGGCUUCCUUCUCCAGCUCAGGGGGCCUGUUCCUGGUCUCAGCCUGGAUCCCUGUGGCUGCCCGGGUCACUUAGGAAGUGCCUCCUGUGCAUAGGUUCCUGGGGCUGGGGACACACCAGGGUUCCAGCAGUUUCCAGGCUGGGAGUACAGUGCAGGGGACCCAGCAGUGAUGGGGGGGCACACAGGCAGUUGAACAAUCCAAGGCGGAUGGAGGGAAGUUCAUUGGAAGGCCUCGGUAGCCCCCCUGGGCCAGGAACCCACACAGCCGGUCCCAGGGGCUGAGCCAACCACUUCCGCCCCAGGCUGCUGGGCCCCGCUGACUCACGCUCAGCUGUCUGCACCCCACCCCCACUGAGCCUUCCUGGGGGGCAACGGGAGGGGCUGGCAGAGGCCCAAGCCUGGAAUGCAGAGAGGUCAGCCUGGAAACAUCGGAGGAGCACGGUGCACCAGUCUUAACCACCUGCCAAAUGGAGACCCACUCUUGACAAGGAAAAAAAAAAAAAGAAAAUAAUUGGAGGGUUUGGGGUACAUUGGACCCAAUCACAAUGUCACAGUGUUGGACACCAAGAAAGUCCAUAAGGAAAUUGAAAAGACAAGCCAGGGACUGAGAGACAAUAGCUGCCAUGCGUUUUACUGAUUAAGGAAUAGCUUCCAGAACUUAUGAAGACACACUAGAAGGAAAAAAAAAAAACUCCACCGGAUAUUAAAAUGAGUGGAUGACAUUGUUUUUCAUGGGGUGGCGGAAACAGUUACCGUAAACUGGUGGCUUGAAGAAGAAGAAAUGCAUUCUCUCGUUGUCUGGAGGCCAGAAUCCUAGAUGGAAGUGUGGGCAGGGCUGGAGGCUGUGCGGGGGCAUUGGUCCCAGGCCCCUCUUUCGGCUUCUGCAGGCUUCUGGCCCUCCUUGAUGGCCUUUGGCUUGUGGCUUCAUCGUUCGGAUCUCUGCCUCUGUCUUCACAUGGCCUUCUUAUAAGGGCACCAGUCACUGGAUUUAGGGCCCACCCUGCUCUGGUGUGACCUCAUUUUAAAGUAAAUAAUUAUAUCUCAAAACCCUAAAAAUCACAAUCUGAGGUUCCAGGUGGAUGUGAGUUUGGGGACCCAAUAUUCAAUGAAGACAGGUGAUUCAGGGAAGGUGAAUCAGGACAAGCAAAACUAGGGUGGCUGGGUGGCUCAGUCGGUUAAGCAUCCGCCUUCAGCUCAGGUCAUGAUCUCAGGGUCCUGGGAUAGAGCCCCGCAGUCAGCCCCCUGCUCUGUGGGGAGCCUGCUUCUCCCUCUCCCUCUGCCUGCCAGUCUGCCUACUUGUGUGAUUGCUCUCUGUCAAAUAAAUUUUAAAAAUCUUAAAACA
rnacentral:lncRNA from 12 species